rnacentral:rRNA from 1 species
UACGUAGGUGGCAAGCGUUUGUCCGGAUUUAUUGGGUUUAAAGGGUGCGUAGGCGGUCUAUUAAGUACAGUGCUGAAAUAUCCCGGCUUAACCGGGAGGUGGCAUUGAUACUGAUGGACUUGAGUGCAGUCGAGGUAGGCGGAAUUGACGGUGUAGCGGUGAAAUGCUUAGAUAUCGUCAAGAACACCGAUAGUGAAGACAGCUUACUAGACUGUAACUGACGCUGAGGCACGAAAGUGUGGGGAUCAAACAGG